GUGGCGCACGGGUGAGUAACGCGUGGAUAAUCUACCCAAUGGUCUGGGAUAACAUUUCGAAAGGGGUGCUAAUACCGGAUAAGACCACGGAGUCUUCGGGCUUUGCGGUAAAAGGUGGGGACCUUCGGGCCUACCGCGAUUGGAUGAGUCCGCGUACCAUUAGCUAGUUGGUAGGGUAAAGGCCUACCAAGGCGACGAUGGUUAGCUGGUCUGAGAGGAUGAUCAGCCACACUGGAACUGAGACACGGUCCAGACUCCUACGGGAGGCAGCAGUGGGGAAUUUUGCGCAAUGGGGGAAACCCUGACGCAGCAACGCCGCGUGAGUGAUGAAGGCCUUCGGGUCGUAAAGCUCUGACAGAGGGGAAGAAGUGAAGUGGUGCUAAUACCAUCAUUUUUUGACGGUACCCUCAAAGGAAGCACCGGCUAACUCCGUGCCAGCAGCCGCGGUAAUACGGAGGGUGCAAGCGUUGUUCGGAAUUAUUGGGCGUAAAGCGCGUGUAGGCGGUCAGUUAAGUCUGAUGU
rnacentral:rRNA from 1 species